AAUUAGUCUACUCUAAUGCAGUUUAAUGUCUAUACAUUUCUAUUGCCUCGCUUGUAGACAAGAGCAAGAGAAGGUUUUAUUAUCCUAGCAAUAAUUUUUUACCUUUCAUGGGCUGAAUUAUUGCUCGAGAAACGUAAAAUCACAAAA